AGAUUGAACGCUGGCGGCAUGCUUUACACAUGCAAGUCGAACGGCAGCAUGGGUGCUUGCACCUGAUGGCGAGUGGCGAACGGGUGAGUAACAUAUCGGAACAUGUCCGGAAGUGGGGGAUAACGUAGCGAAAGUUACGCUAAUACCGCAUAUGCCCUGAGGGGGAAAGGAGGGGAUCGCAAGACCUUUCGCUUUCGGAGUGGCCGAUAUCAGAUUAGCUAGUUGGUGAGGUAAAGGCUCACCAAGGCGACGAUCUGUAGCUGGUCUGAGAGGACGACCAGCCACACUGGGACUGAGACACGGCCCAGACUCCUACGGGAGGCAGCAGUGGGGAAUUUUGGACAAUGGGCGC
rnacentral:rRNA from 1 species